rnacentral:rRNA from 1 species
GACGAACGCUGGCGGCGUGCUUAACACAUGCAAGUCGAGCGGAAAGGCCCUUCGGGGUACUCGAGCGGCGAACGGGUGAGUAACACGUGAGUAACCUGCCCCAGACUUUGGGAUAACCCUCGGAAGCGGGGGCUAAUACCGGAUACGACACAGCUUCGCAUGGGGUCUGUGUGGAAAGUUUUUCGGUUUGGGAUGGGCUCGCGGCCUAUCAGCUUGUUGGUGGGGUGAUGGCCUACCAAGGCGACGACGGGUAGCCGGCCUGAGAGGGCGACCGUCCACACUGGGACUGAGACACGGCCCAGACUCCUACGGGAGGCAGCAGUGGGGAAUAUUGCACAAUGGGCGGAAGCCUGAUGCAGCGACGCCGCGUGAGGGAUGACGGCCUUCGGGUUGUAAACCUCUUUCAGCAGGGACGAAGCGUAAGUGACGGUACCUGCAGAAGAAGCGCCGGCCAACUACGU